rnacentral:lncRNA from 1 species
UACAGGCGAAAACAAGUCUCCUGUGAGAUGCAGACAAGCCCAGAGGGGUCUACAGGUCAGCACGACACAAAGCCUGGAUCCCAUUGCAAGUAACAGCAACCAACAGACAAAACUACACCCCCUUUUUGCUCUGAUAUAUUUUUACACCUCCCUUUUUCCUUACUGAAGAGAAGGAGAAAUUUCAGAAACUCUGAUCUUUGAAGUGGUAAAGGUUAAAAUAAAUAAAUCACUACUUCAUUCUUUUAUGCA